rnacentral:misc_RNA from 1 species
AAAGCUUCAAAGGCUACAGAGAGAAAGAGAUGUGGAUGAUUUGCAGUGAUGUUGACGGAAGAAGGAAGCGUCAAUACUCCUUAUUUUCUGGUCAUCUUUUUUGUUUUUGGCUGAUUGAUGGGAGUUGUAGAGAGAUAGAGAGAUCAAAAGCAGGAAGCCGCGCUGAUCUGCUGCGGUGUAGUUUCGGCUUUGCCCUUUUUGCUAAUUCCCACAGCCCAGUUUACCCCUUGUGGAAG